AGUGGGGAAUAUUGCACAAUGGGCGGAAGCCUGAUGCAGCAACGCCGCGUGCGGGAUGACGGCCUUCGGGUUGUAAACCGCUUUCGCCUGUGACGAAGCGUGAGUGACGGUAAUGGGUAAAGAAGCACCGGCUAACUACGUGCCAGCAGCCGCGGUGAUACGUAGGGUGCGAGCGUUGUCCGGAUUUAUUGGGCGUAAAGGGCUCGUAGGUGGUUGAUCGCGUCGGAAGUGUAAUCUUGGGGCUUAACCCUGAGCGUGCUUUCGAUACGGGUUGACUUGAGGAAGGUAGGGGAGAAUGGAAUUCCUGGUGGAGCGGUGGAAUGCGCAGAUAUCAGGAGGAACACCAGUGGCGAAGGCGGUUCUCUGGGCCUUUCCUGACGCUGAGGAGCGAAAGCGUGGGGAGCGAA
rnacentral:rRNA from 2 species